UGGGGAAUAUUGGACAAUGGGCGAAAGCCUGAUCCAGCCAUGCCGCGUGUGUGAAGAAGGUCUUCGGAUUGUAAAGCACUUUAAGUUGGGAGGAAGGGCAGUAAGCGAAUACCUUGCUGUUUUUACGUUACCGACAGAAUAAGCACCGGCUAACUCUGUGCCAGCAGCCGCGGUAAUACAGAGGGUGCAAGCGUUAAUCGGAAUUACUGGGCGUAAAGCGCGCGUAGGUGGUUCGUUAAGUUGAAUGUGAAAGCCCCGGGCUCAACCUGGGAACUGCAUCCAAAACUGGCGAGCUAGAGUAGGGCAGAGGGUGGUGGAAUUUCCUGUGUAGCGGUGAAAUGCGUAGAUAUAGGAAGGAACACCAGUGGCGAAGGCGACCACCUGGGCUAAUACUGACACUGAGGUGCGAAAGCGUGGGGAGCAAACAGG
rnacentral:rRNA from 1 species